GAAAUGCGAUAGGUAGUGUGAAUUGCAGAUACCGUGAAUCAUCAAAUCUUUGAACGCACAUUGCACUGUCUGGAACUCCGGGCAGUAUACCUGUUUGAGUAUCAGCUACUCCUCUCACUAUCAGUUACCUUGGUAGCCUAGUGAGGACUUGAGUCAUCAUGGACCAUCCUCGGAUAGCCUGUGCGACUUUAAAUAGCAGUACCAGCGUCCCUAGGAUCGCUGUUAUCUUGCAGAGUUGAUGGCCUUGUGCCUAAUCCUGUUAGGGUAACAGAUCGUAUACCUAGUGGUUAAACGUAGCUGGCUUACUAAACCAUACAGUGAUCAGUAGUUAACUGAUUGACUGUGACUUUGAUCUCAAAUCAGGUAAGAUUACCCGCUGAACUUAA
rnacentral:misc_RNA from 1 species